GGGCAUCCCUCUUUUGUGGAGUUUUUGCCUGUGAGCCUAUAUCUUCAGAGAUUGGUCCCAAAUUUUGGCAGAUCUGAGAGUGUGGUGAUGUGGAUGAAAGCUAAAUGGUGAUGACCCUGGCAGUGCUGGCUGAGAUAGGAACACGUGGAUCAUUCUGUUCUUGAAGGAGGUAAUUUUCUCUGCCCUCAGUGUCUAAUAACUAUUGCUAAUUUGAAUGUAUGUAUAUAUAAUGCAAUGGAAAGUACAGCAAUGACUGGAUGAAUGGAGUAGCACGGUCUCAGGCUGCAGCAAGUGAGGACUUGCACAAACACAACAGCAGUAGGCACAGAAAUAAAGAAAAGACACUACUUAACUUCAGAAGGCCUCAAGUAUGGAGAGACCUCCCAGAAAAUACCCUCACCUCCACUGCCAGCCCUUAAAUGAGGUCUGGGAAGGGAUGGAUCCUGGCUCCACCCCUUCUGAUCACUCAGGUUACAUUGUGUGCACCUGAGCUCCUCUGGGUUGGCCCUGUCUUCCCACCAGAUGCUCAAUAACUGGUUCAGGCAGUGACCUAGCAUUUCCACUGCAGUAUAUUAUUAAUAAAUGAAAGAAAUUUUAAAAUGUUAUAUAUCUUUCAUCAGUUUGAAAUUCUGGCAGAAAAAGUCUUAUCUGAGUAAUGUGUGUGAAAGCUGCACACCAACAAUUACAGAUGAUGAAAAACAAGACAGCAUACAGAGAUGCUGGAGGAUUUCAUUCUGAGGCACAUGGCUGGAUUUGGAGAUGGGGCCAACAGUUAAUUUUGAUGCUCCUUGGCUGCUCUGCAGCUUCUCUCCUCCUCUCCUGUGAGUUAUAUGGUCCAACAUGGACCAUGUGGGGACAACAGAGGCAGCACUGCUGCUAGGAGGUCUGGACAUCAGCAGCUCUGGGGGCA